GAGGGUGCAAGUUCAACUCUGCAAGAAUCCACUACUGUGAUUGUCCAACAUCACAAGGAGGAGCUCAUGGAAGCCUGUCAUGGAUCAAAUGGAUCAAGUAUGCUGGAUAAUGUCCUGGCCGGUUCUCCUUUGGUCACCGAGGGUGCACAUCCAACUUUGCAGGAACCCACUUCUGUAAUUGGCCAACACCAGAGGGAAGAGCUCAUGGAUGCCUGUCAUGGAUCAAAUGGAUCAAGUAUACUGGAUAAUGUCCUGGCCGAUCCUCCUUUGGUCACUGAGGGUGCACAUCCAACUUUGCAGGAACCCACUACUGUAUUUGGCCAACACCAGGGGGAAGAGCUCACGGAUGCCUGUCAUGGAUCAAAUGGACCAAGUAUACUGGAUAAUGUCCUGGCCGAUCCUCCUUUGGUCACUGAGGGUGCACAUCCAACUUUGCAGGAACCCACUACUGUAAUUGGCCAGCACCAGAGGGAGGAGCUCACGGCUACCUGUCAUGGAUCAAAUAGACCCAAUGUCCUGGACAAUGUAUUGGCUGAUCCUCCUUUGGUCACUGAUGGUGCCGCCAC
rnacentral:lncRNA from 1 species